GUUAACUUGAGAAUAUGGCAUUGGAUCACCUAAGCACUAUCAGACUAAUUUAAUCUGCCAGGAAUCAAGCACACUUACUGAACAAUUCAACAAGAGGUAAAUUUUAAAGCUUCCAACACCGCCGCCCUAAGAAAAUUGAUGUUCUAAGCUUAAUAGUUGCUUGUUACCUUAUCUUACAAGAGCCACUAAAGCGAAGAACUUCACUAGGCACAAUGCUCCACUACAUAUAUGUAUGCCAACCACUGCGACAUUUUUCUGCCUGAUUUCCACAUAAUAUGGCUGCAAACUUCUUCUAGGAGCGAUGUGAUCAUUCAUCACAGGUCAAGUAAGUAUCAUUCCCGUUAUGUACAAUGGAAGAAUAUCCAGAAUUUGCUAACUAGCCUUUCCUUGGGUGCUCAUCAAUGUCCAUGAAUUCACCAGUAACCCUGUCAUAUGAUAAGAAGGCAUCACCAAUUGUUCCACUAACUUUAUUCCGUACCUUUCUUACACAAACCUGCACUUGAUCCACGGGGCCAGCCGAAGGAUCUCUGUUACGAUGAAUAACAAUACCAUUGUCACAUUUGUU
rnacentral:misc_RNA from 1 species